ACACUUAAUAGCAAAGGAUAACAUUUUUUGGUUUCUAAUCAUAUUCCACAACUAUAUUUUCAUCUGAGCAUAUUAUAAAUAAUAAUUCGAAGAAUUUUUAAAAACAAAAAAAAUCUUUUUCAUAAUGGGAAGUGCUGAAAGUAAAUCCUCAUCAGAAUGCAAUGGAAAUUCUACCGCUGUUGCUGUCACAGCAAAUUACAAACCGCAGGGGGGAGGAAGUUCUUCUGUACCACCGAAUACUAACCUGCCAACGUUUCAACCCCCUAAAAAACCGAAAAACAAGAGCACUUAAAGCAGUUCUUCUUAGGCAUAACUUUCUUCCUAGUAGACGUACACUUAUUGUUAGUCUUUCAUUAGAGUAAAUAUAAUGAAGUAUGGAUAAGAUGUUAUCAAUAUUAAGGUUAACCAUUAUAACGGAGUAUUUUCCAAAAUCAGCGUGUAAACAAACCAUACAAACAAGGGUUAAUUUUAUUACCGAAUUAAAAUAAUUAAUUCUAAUUCAAAUCAUUAAUUAUAAUUCUUAAAACAAUCAUUUUUUCAUGAAUAUUCAUAAUUUCUAUACACUUAAUUUUUCAGGACUAAAAAUUGUUGGGAUGAAAAUAAUUUUAUUUAAUCAGUCAGUGUUCAGCCAUGCAUCAUGCAAAUCAAAAAGAUAGUUGGGCCGAUAUACAUAAGGGAAAAUUUGGGGAGAAGAUGCGACGGAGAAAGUGAGAGAAAGUUGGCGCAGAAAAAACAAUGGGGAAAAGAAGAGGAACAAAAGCUGAGAUGAAAUUCAUAAAGGAAACAAUGAGAAUCUGACAAAAUCCGAAUUCGAUCAUUUCAAGGAUUCGAUGGAUUCGAUGGAUGAAUCAUGGAUUCGAUUGUUCAUCAAUAUUGACUGUAAUCACGCAAAUUUGCAAUAUUUUAACAACUGAGGGGAAGAAAGUGGUAGAAUGAUUUUUAACUUUAUAAACUUUGUGUGAAAGCUACAGCAAAUCUAUUUCAAAUCAUUUAGGGAAUAAAUUUUUAUAAAUAAACAUAUUUGACUUGUAAGUUUAACAAUAAUAAUAAGUUUGAUAAAUUUGUAAAAAAAAAA